CAUUAAUGCUUUCCAUUGCCCUAAUAUGUUAAUUCCUGAUAUUUUUAUAUGAUAAUAUGUCUGCUAAAACUAAAUUUUAGGGAGUUUAAUUUGCUUAAUAUUGCCAGUAUUUGAUAUGGUACUGAGUGCUUUUUACAAAAGUGCUUUUUGAAUUCAGUAUUCUCUAAGUAACUUUAAGUACUUAAAAGUUUAGUCCCCACAUGCUUCAAUGAGAACUUGACUUUAAAAUGGAGUUCUACUUUAACAAUUGCGUUGCACUUGAGUUAGCCUUUGAUUUAAUUCAAGUUGGUGGCAAGAUCCACAAAGACGAGCUAAUUUGGGGAGUUGGUUUCUUGAUGUCCACCUACCAAGUUGUUUAAACACCUGAGAAAUCCAAAGUUUGACUCACGGAUAUUUUAAUACACCUAAGAAGUAAGCAAUUUUGGAUUAUCAAAACUUUAGCCCACAUCGUCUAACAUGACUUUUAUUGAAUAAAGAGAAACUAUGUUUUAUUCCAAUUUUUAUGAAGCAUGGUUAUAAUAUUACAAACCCAUUUUGUUCUGGCUUGUGUCAUAUACUUAUCUCACCAAAUAUUACUCACUUUUAGAUAACUUAUAUGUUAAUUCUUAAAAGUUGACAUAUUUUAUUGUAAAAAUCACAAUGUCAAAACAUUUUUGGAAGGAUUACUAAAAUGACCCUAGACUCAUUGUGCACAUAAGGAUAUUUCCAGCACAUGGUUAUCAUUCAGUUUAGCAUUUCUUUUAAUUUUGUGAAAUCCAAUAGUGCAUUGUUCAUUUAUUCUUGGUUGCUUGUGUAUAAACUUCAAACAGUGUUAACACAUUUUGCAUCAAGAAUGAGUUUGCCAAAAUAUGACAAGAUUUAUUACAACGGGGUAAGGUGACGUGAGGCCCGCAGUACAUAUGCAGAUACUACCACAUUAAUUUGUUUUGUUUUAAUUAGUAGGUGAAUUGGAAACUGCUGUUAAUUUGUGGAAACUAAAAUUGUUUACUGAGUUUUGUUAACUCAUUUUACUCAUAUUGAGAUUUACUGUAGCCUGGUUUUCACAUUCUAGUGGCCUUGUACAUUUGUAAAAUAUGAAAAACAAGCUGCAUUACAAGACUGGAUUUCCUUUUUUUGAAAAAAAAAAGUGAAAUGGAGCCUUUUACAUCUGAUAAGUACACAUAGAGUAUCUGCCAAAGUUUGUGAUGGCUGUAAAAUGAAAGUUUACUUAUAAAAGAAAAAAAAACAACAUGAAACUUUUGAAAAAAUGCCUUUGAAAAUUGGGAUUUAAUUAUCCCCUACACAGAUACAAAAUGCUUCUUAAAACAUGUAUGUUUUGUAUUUUUUUUUUGUAGAAUAUUUUACUUGAAAUAUUGGUGUUUCAUUUCUAAGUGCUGUGUUUUGCUUUUGUGUGUAAUAUCUGAAUGUAAUUUCUGCAGUGCCAAUUUGCCAAAGAUGUUUUACAUUUUUUCUGUUUAUUUCAUUUCUUAAGGAUUGGAAUGGCCAGUAUUUUUGUUUACCAGGUUUUCUCUGUCAGUAAAUUUGUGAACUUAUUCUAAGUUAUAUGGUUGACUGCAAACUUUUAAUUUUAAUUUUAUUUUUUUAGAUUAGUUGAAGAAACAUGCAAUAAGAUUGGCGUAGAUUCAAUAUCUGUGUGUCUUUCCAUUG
rnacentral:lncRNA from 1 species